UGGCCUUGAUGGUGUAGUGCAUGGAC
rnacentral:piRNA from 1 species